rnacentral:rRNA from 1 species
UACGUAGGGUGCGAGCGUUGUCCGGAAUUACUGGGCGUAAAGAGCUCGUAGGUGGUUUGUCGCGUUGUUCGUGAAAACUCACAACUCAAUUGUGGGCGUGCGGGCGAUACGGGCAGACUGGAGUACUGCAGGGGAGACUGGAAUUCCUGGUGUAGCGGUGGAAUGCGCAGAUAUCAGGAGGAACACCGGUGGCGAAGGCGGGUCUCUGGGCAGUAACUGACGUGGAGGAGCGAAAGCGUGGGGAGCGAACAGGAUAGAAACCCU